AGCAUAUCAAUAAGCGGAGGAAAAGAAACCAACCGGGAUUGCCUCAGUAACGGCGAGUGAAGCGGCAAGAGCUCAAAUUUGAAAUCUGGCCCCUCCGGGGUCCGAGUUGUAAUUUGUAGAGGAUGCUUCGGGUGCGGCCCCCGUCUAAGUGCCCUGGAACGGGCCAUCGGAGAGGGUGAGAAUCCCGUCUGGGACGGGGUGUCCGCGUCCAUGUGAAGCUCCUUCGACGAGUCGAGUUGUUUGGGAAUGCAGCUCUAAAUGGGUGGUAAAUUUCAUCUAAAGCUAAAUACUGGCCGGAGACCGAUAGCGCACAAGUAGAGUGAUCGAAAGAUGAAAAGCACUUUGAAAAGAGAGUUAAACAGCACGUGAAAUUGUUGAAAGGGAAGCGCUUGCGACCAGACUCGCUUCCGGGGUUCAGCCGGCUUUCGGGCCGGUGUACUUCCCCGGGGGCGGGCCAGCGUCGGUUUGGGCGGCCGGUCAAAGGCCCCUGGAAUGUAACGCCUCUCGGGGCGCCUUAUAGCCAGGGGUGUCAUGCGGCCAGCCUGGACCGAGGAACGCGCUUCGGCACGGACGCUGGCAUAAUGGUCGUAAACGACCCGUCUUGAAACACGGACCAAGGAGUCUAACAUCUACGCGAGUGUUCGGGUGUCAAACCCGUGCGCGCAGUGAAAGCGAACGGAGGUGGGAGCCCCCUCGCGGGGCGCACCAUCGACCGAUCCUGAUGUCUUCGGAUGGAUUUGAGUAAGAGCGUAGCUGUGGGGACCCGAAAGAUGGUGAACUAUGCCUGAAUAGGGCGAAGCCAGAGGAAACUCUGGUGGAGGCUCGCAGCGGUUCUGACGUGCAAAUCGAUCGUCAAAUUUGGGUAUAGGGGCGAAAGACUAAUCGAACCAUCUGGUAGCUGGUUCCUGCCGAA
rnacentral:rRNA from 1 species